UACGUAGGGUGCGAGCGUUGUCCGGAAUUAUUGGGCGUAAAGGGCUCGUAGGCGGUUUGUCGCGUCGGGAGUGAAAACUCAGGGCUUAACCCUGAGCCUGCUUCCGAUACGGGCAGACUAGAGGUAUGCAGGGGAGAAUGGAAUUCCCGGUGUAGCGGUGAAAUGCGCAGAUAUCGGGAAGAACACCCGUGGCGAAGGCGGUUCUCUGGGACGGUACUGACGCUGAGACGCGAAAGCGUGGGGGAGCGAACAGG
rnacentral:rRNA from 1 species